rnacentral:rRNA from 1 species
AGCGAACGCUGGCGGCAGGCUUAACACAUGCAAGUCGAACGCCCCGCAAGGGGAGUGGCAGACGGGUGAGUAACACGUGGGAACGUACCCUUUGGUUCGGAAUAACUUGGGGAAACUCAAGCUAAUACCGGAUAAGCCCUUAUGGGGAAAGGUUUACUGCCGAAGGAUCGGCCCGCGUCUGAUUAGCUAGUUGGUGAGGUAACGGCUCACCAAGGCGACGAUCAGUAGCUGGUCUGAGAGGAUGAUCAGCCACACUGGGACUGAGACACGGCCCAGACUCCUACGGGAGGCAGCAGUGGGGAAUAUUAGACAAUGGGGGCAACCCUGAUCCAGCCAUGCCGCGUGAGUGAUGAAGGCCUUAGGGUUGUAAAGCUCUUUUACCCGGGACGAUAAUGACUGUACCGGGAGAAUAAGCCCCGGCUAACUUCGUGCCAGCCGCCGCAGUAA